UCAGAACCCACUGCUGUGAUGGUGAGAUGUAACACCACCCGCUGACCCCACUGCAGGUCUGAUCCAGGUUCAGACAUGUUUUGCUGUUGGCCCUGAAGAAGGGCUCUGAGUCCUAAGAGGGGAAUUGCCUGGGGCAGCCAGUGGAAGCUGAGCAGGUGGAGUUUGCUUGUGUGAGGAAACAAGUACUAAUCAGCUGAUAGUGUCACACAAAGGAACAGCACAAAUGAAGACUUAAUGCCAGGGAUAACUGUAAGAAACAAACAGCUGGCCUACGAGAAAGCAAAGAUGUAAGGUGCCAGGCAUCAGCUUGCUCCUGGAACUGGGCUGAGCUGCAGGACGCUGCGGGCUGGCACCUGCUCAGGGCUUGGCUGCCACCUCCCUCUGAGCACAGCAUCCCGGCUGCAAGGGAGGUGCUGCUUCUGAAGACGCCAGUGGGAGAGCACAAGAUCUGCACCAGCUGAGCAAGUCUCAACCAGCCUGUGUUGGCAGGGCUGGGUGAGGGGAAAGGGACACUGCCUCUUCCUCACCAGCUGGGCCAGCAACAAGUCGUGCUCCCCAUUUGUUUUAUUCGCUUCUCUUACGUCUGCAGCAGUUUUGGUCAGUUGUCAAUGUAGAUUUGGACAUCAAGUACCAAAGUCUUUGACCAUGGGAUUUAUAUCAAUUCUCCCAACUCAAGACAAAUGAAGGAGAGCUAUUCUGUGCAGUUUACACAAGACAUUGCAUUUUGCUGCUAUGAAUCAGGGUACUUUUCUCAGGUGCACUUUUUGAGAUGCAGGCUUCUGCCUCUUCUCAUUCAGCUGAUCACAGGUAAACAAAUGUAUGUAUAAUUAAGUUUCUGAAGUAAUUUUCAAGUAGACACUUUGCACAAAUAAUAAAUCUAGUAGUAGCAGGUUUUAUUCUGACUCAUGGACUAUCUAAGAUGGCAACAUCUGAGUCCCACAGAUUCAUUUGUAUGGUUCAGUGGGGUGUUUUAAAUAUCUUCCAAGCCUUCUACAUUAGUAGCUGUUCCAAAAGAGUCACUAAAAUUAAAGUGUCAUUAAAGCUGCAGAAGAAUCAUGGAAAGUCUAGUCUUAAUGAUUUUACUGCUAAUACAGCCCGCUUGGAAGAGACACAAACGUGUCAGCAGUGUCUGUGAUGACAUACACCCCACACAUUGGAUGGGUUCUUCAUGAUUUGUUUUCACUUACCAUAAAGUUAUUUCGGGUUUAUGGUGAUCUAACAAAUUACAAUGAUGGAAACUCGAAGCGUUUCAUUUCAUACACUGCUGUGUAGGUCCUAUGCAGGGAUCAGCAUAAGUGCCUGGAGAAGGGGAUUACACCUAUAGCUGAAUAUGAUUUUGCCAUAGGAUCCUUAAUGCUUAGUUUAAGUGGAACCAAGAAAAGUUUGGUUUCUAUGCGCAGGGGAUACCUUUCUCUCAUUUGUCAUUUCACCACUUGAACCCAUCUUAAAAAUGGAUAAAUCUGCUGAUAAUCACAAUCUUUUUUGGAGAAUCCCCACAGAUCAUACUGUUCAGACGACUGCAAAAGUCUGCUUUAAGGAAGUUGAAGGCUUUAGUUUCACAUAAGGGAUUUCAGUGUCACUCACUGCUGAACACCAAAAUCAUUGCAUGAGACAUCUGAGAUGUGCUGUUGCACAGUAAUUCUAAGUAAAGAUGUGCAGAAGUGGCGUUUUUUAGGAAUUGAAGAAGAAAAGCAGAUACUGAAGCCUUGUGAACAGCUGAUGUCCUUCAGCAAGUACUGAUCAGACACAGCUUGUCAGCCUGUCAGUGGGUCAGCCAAGACAACAUGCAAUGAGAGCAAGCACGUGCCAAUUUUGCAAAUAAUUAAGAAUACCCUUCCUCUGCUGAAGUUUUAUAAGAGAAUCUCCAAACAGAAGCUUAAUGUUCUCAGACAUCGUUAAAAAAGAAAGCGGUGGCAUUCAGGAGAGGAAAGCCGUAACUCAAAUCAGGAACUCAGACAUAUUCAUUGUGCAAAUCCCUGCUUUUUACAGUGUUAGAGAAGUGCUGACAUAGCCCAAGCAGUCGCUAUCCCUUGGCACUAUUUGCUGGAUCAUUAGGAAAAAGAAACAAAGUGGAAGCUGGGUGUUGUCUGUCAAGUGAAGAAAGCUUUAAAAUUGAUGCAAUGUUUGACUUUUACAUGAGGCAUUCACAGGGUCUCCUCCGUGGAAGAGGAGGAGGAGAGGCAGCAGAGGUCCACCACCAGCAUUCAUUUCAGGAGCAUCACUUCAAAGCCCCAGCACCAGAAACAAAUCCAACAUUUGAGCAGCAGAUUACUGCUGUCAUUUUCUCACAGAAACGGAUAUGUCAUUGUUAUGUUCUGUUAAGCAUUAAAAACUGAUGCUGAAAAACAUCGUGAGCUCUUCUGUGCCAAAACACUGCAAAAUGACCCGGCUUCUGCCAUGCUGUUCCACUGUGUGCUGUGUGCAAAGUAUCAAGCUGGGAUCUACAAAUGAUCCUUGAAUUAUGUGUUUGAUCUAGCAUAUGGAUGUAGACAUGAAAGGGUAUAAGGGCAUCAUGGCUGACUGGAGGUGAAUUUGUUAGAGGAGUUAGGAAAUGGACCA
ensembl:lncRNA